rnacentral:rRNA from 1 species
GACGAACGCUGGCGGCGUGCCUAAUACAUGCAAGUAGGACGCAGUUGCGAACGGGUGAGUAACGCGUCGGUAACUGCCUAUUAGAGGGGGAUAACAAUUGGAAACGAUAGCUAAUACCGCAUACUAGUAGAUGGACCUGCGUUGUAUUAGCUAGUAGGUAGGGUAAUGGCCUACCUAGGCGACGAUACAUAGCCGACCUGGGAGGGUGAUCGGCCAACAUGGGACUGAGAACCGGCCCAGACUCCUACGGGAGGGAGCAGUGGGGAAACUUCGGCAAAGGGGGGAACCCUGACCGAGCAAAGCCGGGUGAGUGGAGAAAGGUUUCGGGUCGUAAAGCUCUGUUGUUAAGGAAGCGGUACUUAACCAGAAAGGGACGGCUAACUCCGUGCCAGCAGCCGCGGUAAUAC